GUUUGAUCCUGGCUCAGAUUGAACGCUGGCGGCAUGCCUUACACAUGCAAGUCGAACGGCAGCACGGGGGCAACCCUGGUGGCGAGUGGCGAACGGGUGAGUAAUACAUCGGAACGUGUCCUGUAGUGGGGGAUAGCCCGGCGAAAGCCGGAUUAAUACCGCAUACGCUCUACGGAGGAAAGGGGGGGAUCUUAGGACCUCUCGCUACAGGGGCGGCCGAUGGCAGAUUAGCUAGUUGGUGGGGUAAAGGCCUACCAAGGCGACGAUCUGUAGCUGGUCUGAGAGGACGACCAGCCACACUGGGACUGAGACACGGCCCAGACUCCUACGGGAGGCAGCAGUGGGGAAUUUUGGACAAUGGGCGAAAGCCUGAUCCAGCAAUGCCGCGUGUGUGAAGAAGGCCUUCGGGUUGUAAAGCACUUUUGUCCGGAAAGAAAACCUCUGGGUUAAUACCCCUGGGGGAUGACGGUACCGGAAGAAUAAGCACCGGCUAACUACGUGCCAGCAGCCGCGGUAAUACGUAGGGUGCAAGCGUUAAUCGGAAUUACUGGGCGUAAAGCGUGCGCAGGCGGUCCGCUAAGACAGAUGUGAAAUCCCCGGGCUUAACCUGGGAACUGCAUUUGUGACUGGCGGGCUAGAGUAUGGCAGAGGGGGGUAGAAUUCCACGUGUAGCAGUGAAAUGCGUAGAGAUGUGGAGGAAUACCGAUGGCGAAGGCAGCCCCCUGGGCCAAUACUGACGCUCAUGCACGAAAGCGUGGGGAGCAAACAGGAUUAGAUACCCUGGUAGUCCACGCCCUAAACGAUGUCAACUAGUUGUCGGGUCUUCAUUGACUUGGUAACGUAGCUAACGCGUGAAGUUGACCGCCUGGGGAGUACGGUCGCAAGAUUAAAACUCAAAGGAAUUGACGGGGACCCGCACAAGCGGUGGAUGAUGUGAUUAAUUCGAUGCAACGCGAAAACCUUACCUACCCUUGACAUGUAUGGAACCUGGCUGAAGAGGUCGGGGGUGCCCGAAAGGGAGCAAUAACACAGGUGCUGCAUGGCUGUCGUUCAGCU
rnacentral:rRNA from 1 species